rnacentral:rRNA from 1 species
UAAGGAAUAUUGCUCAAUGGGAGAAAUCCUGAAGCAGCAACGCCGCGUGGAGGAUGAAGGGUCUAUGACUUGUAAACUCCUGUAAAGAAGGAAAAAAUUCCCAUUAGAUGGGAGAUGAUGGUACUUCUGGAGUAAGCCCCGGCUAACUACGUGCCAGCAGCCGCGGUAAUACGUAGGGGGCAAGCGUUGUCCGGAUUUACUGGGUGUAAAGGGUGCUCAGGCGGAUUUGUAAGUCAGAGGUGAAAUCUUACAGCUUAACUGUGAAACUGCCUUUGAUACUGCAAGCUUAGAGUAUGGAAGAGAGUGAUUGAAUAUCUGGUGUAGCAGUGAAAUGCGUAGAUAUCAGAUAGAACACCAAUGGCGAAGGCAGUCACUUGGUCCAUUACUGACGCUAAAGCACGAAAGCGUGGGUAGCAAACA